ensembl:rRNA 5S_rRNA 5S ribosomal RNA
UUAUGUUUAAAAACCUACUUUGAACAAGUCUGAUCCCCGCUGAUCUUGAAAGCUAAGCAGGGUCGGGCCUGGUUAGUUCCUGGAUGGGAAACCACCUAGGAAGACCAGGUGCUGUAGGUGUAAA